CAAAAGCGUAUAUUAAAGUUGUUGCAGUUAAAAAGCUCGUAGUUGAACCUUGGGCUUGGCCGGCCGGUCCAUCUUUUUUGAUGCGUACUGGACCCAGCCGAGCCUUUCCUUCUGGCUAGCCUUUUGGCGAACCAGGACUUUUACUUUGAAAAAAUUAGAGUGUUCAAAGCAGGCCUUUGCUCGAAUAUAUUAGCAUGGAAUAAUAGAAUAGGACGUUAUGGUUCUAUUUUGUUGGUUUCUAGGACCAUCGUAAUGAUUAAUAGGGACGGUCGGGGGUAUCAGUAUUCAGUUGUCAGAGGUGAAAUUCUUGGAUUUACUGAAGACUAACUACUGCGAAAGCAUUUACCAAGGACGUUUUCAUUAA
rnacentral:rRNA from 1 species